rnacentral:lncRNA from 1 species
CUGCGCCUGGUCUGGCCCAUUAUCCCUGGGCUGCAGGGGGCACUGAGAGGGAGCAGGGGGUUGGAGGCCUGGGAUGCAGGCAGUCAGGGGGCCCUUCUCAGUGAGCCGGGUCCGCGUCCUGCUGUCACCAUCCUGAAAUUCUGAAGAAUGGUGACAAAGGACCCCACAGGGUUGCCUCUGGCUCUGAGCCCUUCAGGGAGCAGCCCUGGUGGUGCUGCCCAGAUUGCUGUCUGGGAGGUCACUUCUGGGAGCAGUUCUGUGUGUGUGUGUGUGUGUGUGUGUGUGUGUGUGUGUGUGUGUGUGUGUGUGUGCUUGCCUGCAUUCCUUUGUGUGUGUGUGUGUAGGAGUGUGUGUGCUUUUGUGUGUGACUGCAUGUGUGAAUGUGUGCUACUGUGUGUGUGUGUAUUGCGUGUGCCUUUGUGCGAGUGUGUGCUUUUGUCUGUGUGACUGCUUGUGCAUGCGAGUGUGUGAUUGUGUGGCUCUGUGAGUGUGUGUUUCUGUGCCUUCAGGUGUGCAUGUGGGUGCAGCAGCGUGAGGAGCAGAGGGUUGGGGGUCAGGGGUGCUGGACUAGCAAUCAGCUUGCACAUGCCUGGAGCAGCUGGAAGUGGGGGGCGGCGUGGAGGAGGAGGCAGACACCCAAGCGGACCCUUCCUGCACCAGGGAACAUGGGCGGUGCUUUCCUGGAACCUGAAAACGUGCCCCCAGGGGCCCGGCUCAGCCCGGAAGCCUGCCACGCUUCAGUGACUGUUACUCCAAGCUCCCCCCGUGCCAGUGCCCACCUGGGGUGUGAGGGGGACCAGAUGCUCCAGGGCAGGCACUCUGGGCCAUGGGACGAAGGGACCGGGGAAUGGUCACUGCGGGAUGACCCAGGGCUGAGCGGCCAGGAGGGCAACUUGGUCAGCUGAUGGUUCCCACGGGCUGGCAUGGUUUUAGCCCUGUUGCAUGUGGCACUGGGCUGACAAGACAGGACCAUGGUGAUUCAGUGUGAUUCUGGUGCAGCAUCUCUGGCACCAGAGGGGCCUAAGGCGGAGCCUCCUGGGGCGUCCACAGGGCCCUGCCUGCCUCUCUGGGUGAGACCUGGCUGGGGGAGGCCCUGGCUGAGGAGCACUGUCUCUGGCACCGCCUCGGAGAGGAAAGGACAGUGCCUGUUUCUCUCCUGGCAGCUGUCACCGGCCCCUCGGAAGAUAUCCCAAUGCGGUUUUGCUCAAAUAUGGGUCGAGAUGCACCAGCGUGUGGACACCUUCCUGCAAAAUCUCUUUGAGGACAACAUGCAGGUGGCUGGGCAUCACCCACUCCUGUCCCCUCCUGGCUGGGGCAAGGACGGACUCAGUGAGGAGCUGCUUGGAGCUUUCGAUACUCAGCUGGAGAACGACGACGACUCGCAGGUGGAGUUAGCCCUGAUGAAGCUGGAGGACGGACUCAGUGAGGACCUGCUUGGAGCUUUCGAUGCUCAGCUGGAGAACGACGACUCGAAUCCAGUCCUCUGCUCAACGAAGUCCGGCAGGGAGUCCGUUCUAGAGUCCGAAGGCCUCCUGGCCACAACCAGCCACAUUAUGCGCUAGCGGUCCGGGAGCCCAGGCAGAGCACUUUCAGACGCAUCCUUGAGCUGUUUGAGGAAAUGCUGAAGCGCCUGCAGCAGAGGUGGAGGGGUGCCCUGGCUUGGGUGCAGGAAAGGGCUGCUGCCUGCUUCCGGGGCUUGUGCAGGGCCCUUGAAGCUUUCUGGAGCCUGGUGCAGAGUUUUUGCUCCUCCAUGGGGCACGCCUUCGGGAGUGUCAUCCAGGUCUAAGGUGCUCCAGGUGAAAUAAGAGUUUCUAGAGCACAACCUCCCCCUGCCUUGGCUAAAAAGGCAGCUGUAAGCCUUUCCAGCUGUGCUCACCUCAUACCACCCUUCUUGUAAUAAUGUAGCAGCUGGGGAGUUCCCGUCGUGGCGCAGUGGUUAACGAAUCCGACUAGGAACCGUGAGGUUGCAGGUUCGGUCCCUGCCCUUGCUCAGUGGGUUAACGAUCCGGCGUUGCUGUGAGCUGUGGUGUAAGUUGCAGACGUGGCUCGGAUCCCGCGUUGCUGUGUCUCUGGAGUAGGCCGGUGGCUACAGCUCCGAUUCAACCCCUAGCCUGGGAACCUCCACAUGCCGCGGGAGAGGCCCAAGAAAUAGCAACAACAACAACAAAGACAAAAGACAAAAAAAAAAAAAAAAAAAAGUAGCAGCUGGGUGCCCUCUGCCCAAGCCAGCAGCCCUGCUAAUGGUGUACCCAGCAUUUCUUAUCCGUUCCGCUUCUGUCACCUCACUUGCUCAGACAGGGAGGAAUACUGUGCUGGGGGAAGGGGGAAGGUCCGGGAUGCUUACCUGGAAAGAUAAGACCUUGACAUGUGUAAAAGCUGCCGAGAACAAAGACCUGGUACUCAGACUCUGGAGGUGGCUCCUCCGAGCCUGCACCGGUGCUGAAUAAAGCUUGCCUUUCCAUAUCUCCGAGUGCCGUU